AUCCAUGGCAAUUAUAGUAGGAGUGGAAAAUUCAAUUGAGAGUGCCCCGACUUAGACGCUGCCGACUUCUCAUUCUCAAGGAAUCCAGCAGGGAUCAAUAACUUUUUUUACUGUCAGCAUUGAAGUUAUUUUGUUGUUGAAAAUCUUCCCCUAUAUUGCAGUAUUUCCUUUGGAUUAAUCAUGUGCAAGAAGAGAAAAAAAGUAUGAGUUUGGAGAGAUUAAAGCUUGGUUUAUUUUUCUGUUGACAACUGCAAGUUGAUGUUGAAGGGUCGGAACUGAAAUUGUUUUGUUGCCUUUAGAGGAUUAGUUGCAAGUAGAGACAUUUUCAUGUGAUGUAGAUCAGGCAAUUCAUUUCGGCAGAACAAAACAUUUUACGGAUUCACUUUUUAGACUUCUCUUUACUUUAUUGGGGCAAAGAUUUCGUGUUGUUUGAUUCAUUGUAAACACUCUUCCUCACCCUGAUCUAUUUUGUGUACGUUUUAAACAUUUGUUAUAAGUUCUUGAUGUCCCUUAUUCGAGAGGGCUUAUGUGUACAAGGUAAUUUCAUUUA